AGGACGAACGCUGGCGGCGCGCUUAAUACAUGCAAGUCGAGCGAGAACCAUGGCUUCGGCCAUGGGGACAGCGGCGAACGGGUGAGUAACACGUGGGUAAUCAACCCUCGACACUGGGAUAGCCCGGGGAAACCCGGAUUAAUACCGGAUGUCCCAUCUGGCCUUCGGGCCGGCUGGAAAAGGUAGCUUCGGCCUCCGGUCGGGGACGAGCCCGCGGCGGAUUAGCUUGUUGGUGAGGUAACGGCCCACCAAGGCGACGAUCCGUAGCUGGUCUGAGAGGACGAUCAGCCACACUGGGACUGAGACACGGCCCAGACUCCUACGGGAGGCAGCAGUAGGGAAUCUUGCGCAAUGGGCGAAAGCCUGACGCAGCGACGCCGCGUGAGGGAAGAAGGCCUUCGGGUUGUAAACCUCUUUCAGGAGGGACGAAGCCACUCGGGUUAAUAGCCCAGAGGGUGACGGUACCUCCAGAAGAGCCCCGGCUAACUACGUGCCAGCAGCCGCGGU
rnacentral:rRNA from 1 species